rnacentral:rRNA from 1 species
UAACCGAAUAGGGGAGCCGAAGGGAAACCGAGUCUUAACUGGGCGUUAAGUUGCAGGGUAUAGACCCGAAACCCGGUGAUCUAGCCAUGGGCAGGUUGAAGGUUGGGUAACACUAACUGGAGGACCGAACCGACUAAUGUUGAAAAAUUAGCGGAUGACUUGUGGCUGGGGGUGAAAGGCCAAUCAAACCGGGAGAUAGCUGGUUCUCCCCGAAAGCUAUUUAGGUAGCGCCUCGUGAAUUCAUCUCCGGGGGUAGAGCACUGUUUCGGCAAGGGGGUCAUCCCGACUUACCAACCCGAUGCAAACUGCGAAUACCGGAGAAUGUUAUCACGGGAGACACACGGCGGGUGCUAACGUCCGUCGUGAAGAGGGAAACAACCCAGACCGCCAGCUAAGGUCCCAAAGUCAUGGUUAAGUGGGAAACGAUGUGGGAAGGCCCAGACAGCCAGGAUGUUGGCUUAGAAGCAGCCAUCAUUUAAAGAAAGCGUAAUAGCUCACUGGUCGAGUCGGCCUGCGCGGAAGAUGUAACGGGGCUAAACCAUGCAC